UACGUAGGGCGCAAGCGUUGUCCGGAAUUAUUGGGCGUAAAGAGCUCGUAGGUGGCUUGUCACGUCGGGUGUGAAAGCUUGGGGCUUAACUCCAGGUCUGCAUUCGAUACGGGCUGGCUAGAGGUAGGUAGGGGAGAACGGAAUUCCUGGUGUAGCGGUGAAAUGCGUAGAUAUCAAGAGGAACACCUGAGGUGAAGACGGGUUGCUGGGCUGACACUGACGCUGAGGCGCGAAAGCCAGGGGAGCAAACGGG
rnacentral:rRNA from 1 species